rnacentral:rRNA from 1 species
UACGGAGGAUCCAAGCGUUAUCCGGAAUCAUUGGGUUUAAAGGGUCCGUAGGCGGUUUGGUAAGUCAGUGGUGAAAGCCCAUCGCUCAACGAUGGAACGGCCAUUGAUACUGCCAGACUUGAAUUACUAGGAAGUAACUAGAAUAUGUAGUGUAGCGGUGAAAUGCUUAGAUAUUACAUGGAAUACCAAUUGCGAAGGCAGGUUACUACUAGUGGAUUGACGCUGAGGCACGAAAGCGUGGGGAUCAAACAGG